rnacentral:rRNA from 1 species
CUUACCAUGCAGUCGACGGCAGCACAGCAGAGCUUGCUCUGUGGGUGGCGAGUGGCGGACGGGUGAGUAAUGCAUCGGGACCUACCCAGACGUGGGGGAUAACGUAGGGAAACUUACGCUAAUACCGCAUACGUCCUACGGGAGAAAGCGGGGGACCUUCGGGCCUCSCGCGGUUGGAUGGACCGAUGUGCGAUUAGCUUGUUGGUGAGGUAACGGCUCACCAAGGCGACGAUCGCUAGCUGGUCUGAGAGGAUGAUCAGCCACACUGGGACUGAKACACGGCCCAGACUCCUACGGGAGGCAGCAGUGGGGAAUAUUGGACAAUGGGCGCAAGCCUGAUCCAGCAAUGCCGCGUGUGUGAAGAAGGCCUUCGGGUUGUAAAGCACUUUUAUCAGGASCGAAWUCUGCAGGGCUAAUACCC